GGUGAACGCUGGCGGCGUGCUUAACACAUGCAAGUCGAACGAGAACGGGUUAUAGCUUGCUAUAAUUGUCAGCUAAGUGGCGCACGGGUGAGUAAUGUAUAGGUAAUAUGCCUCUUACUAAGGGAUAACAAAUGGAAACGUUUGCUAAUACCUUAUACUCCUUAUUAACAGAAGUUAAUAAGGGAAAGAUUUAUUGGUAAGAGAUUAGCCUGUAUUGUAUCAGUUAGUUGGUGGGGUAAUGGCCUAUCAAGACUAUGACACAUAACUGGUUUGAGAGGAUGAUCAGUCACACUGGAACUGAGACACGGUCCAGACUCCUACGGGAGGCAGCAGUGGGGAAUAUUGCACAAUGGACGAAAGUCUGAUGCAGCAACGCCGCGUGGAGGAUGACACAUUUCGGUGCGUAAACUCCUUUUAUAUGAGAAGAUAAUGACGGUAUUAUAUGAAUAAGCACCGGCUAACUCCGUGCCAGCCGCCGCCGUAA
rnacentral:rRNA from 1 species